GUGAGCGUUUGUGCACGUGUGUGUGUUCAACUGAAGUUUGUGACUGUACCCUCAGCGGUAUUAAGCAGUGAAGGGCACAUGAUUUUUCGAUUUUGUGGUGCUCCAUUUAUUUUAUCUUAUCUUCCCGAUAAAGGUGCCAUGUCGAAGGAAACGAGGAGGCUCAGGUUAUGUCUUAUUGCAUUCGGAAUUGCAGUUCUACUGACCGGUCUUGUAGAUGGCUGUAGUGUUUGGAAUGAAGGAAAAUCGUGUAUGUGCGAAUGUGAAGACAUCUCUAUCGCCUGCAGGACAAACUGCUAUGGAUUGUGUAGCAGUGGGUGUCAUGGUGCCGUUGAAAUUAUCAACCAAAAGCACUGCUACGACAAAUGUCACCACGACUUUCAAGACUGCACAAACUCAUGUUAAGAAGCAGGAAAUCGGGCAAAUUUUAUUGAUAUUUGCUUUUGCUAAAAGAAACUUUAAAUUAAUUUGAGUCAAUCUUCCCACAUCUGGAUGAACACGUUCAGUUUAAACAACACUGCAUGGUGUAUUUGUAUUCAGUAAAACGGCUCUUGGUGAAUGA